GGUGAGUAGCGGGAGGCGCCAUCUUGGGGAGGGCGUGGUUUUGUGACAGGGGACAUCUGAGGGCUUCCAGUGGUGAGCUGAAGGAUGAGCGAUCUAAGUGAUUUGAAGUGAUUCAAGGUGGUGAGGGAAAUAAUAAAAGUAGGGCUAAUUCUGAUCAGUAGGAAGGAUUUUAAGGAGGGAGUUCGGAAUGAGGCUGUCAGGAUGGGAUGUUUUCUUCACAUCUAAAGGAUGGGUGCGAGGAGGGAGGAGAGUCUGAAAAACAGAGGGAGGAGGCAAAGGAAAUAACAAAAAUAGGGAUAAAUCUGUUUUAUAGGAGGGGCUUCAAGAUAGGAUCACUUAAAUGCAAUGAAGACGUCAAGUAUGAAGUGUUUUCCUCACAUCUAAAGGAUGCUGUGGAUGGGUUCUUCCAAUUGGCAGUGUAAGGGAGGAGGAUUUGAAAUACAGAGGAAAAAGUAGGUGAGGAAAUAAUAAAAAUAGGUAUAAAUCACUUUUACAGGAAGAAUUUUAAGGAAGGAUCACUUAAAUGCAAUGAAGACGUCAAGCAUGAGGUGUUUUCCUCACAUCUAAAGCAUGGUGGGGAUGGGUGCUUCCAAUGGGAAGUGUAAGGGAGGAGGAUUUGAAAUACAGAGGAAAAAGGAGGGGGAGGAAAUUAAAAAUAGGUCUAAUUCUUAUUAAGAGGAGGGAUUUUAAGAAGGGAUUUCAGACUGAAGCUGUCAGGUUUGAGAUGUUUUCCUCAUGGCUAAAGGAUGGGUGUGAAGAGGGAGGUUAACAGGAGCUUGUUUGCAGCUGGAAAACAAACAUAUUUUCAGGAAUAUUCCUUAAAGUGUAUGUUAGGCACUCUGCUGGAGAUCUGCCAGGACACCAAGCUGCCAUCUGUGCCUGUAGGAACCUCUUCCAUGGGUAUAUCAGAGUUAUACAAACGUUGUUAUCCUAAUAUCCACUCCUGGUGGUUUACAACUUCCCUUAGAAUCAUAGAAACAUUCAGGUUGGAAAAGACCUGUGACAUCACCAAGUCCAACCCCGGCUCAUCCCCACUGUGCCCGCUGAACCACAUCCCUCAAUGCUACAUCUCCACAUUAUUGAACACCUCCAAGGACAGUGACCCCAAUAGGUACCAUUCCAGUGCCUGACCACUCUAUGAGAAGACAUCUUUCCUAAUAUCCAGUGCUAGUCUCUGUGAAAUGGGAGGCAUCUUAACAUGCUGACCAUCUGUCAGCCCUCUGUGCAUUUUAUGAACUGAUAAAUGUAGAAUAACUUCCAUCCCACUGAUGGAAUGAAACAGCCAUCCAUUUUUUUUCUGUUAACAAAUGGAAUAAAGCUGUAAAUGGCUUCCUGGGGCAGGUGCUUGUGACCACACGGCAUCCAUCUGAAGAUGGAAGAAUAUGGGAAGUGUGGUAAGAAGAACUGCAGAGCCAGCUGAGUCGAUUGGCAUGCGUGUCAGGUCAGCUCAGGAUCGAAUGUCCACUCUGCAGAGUCACACUCCAUUUGUUGCCUCUGCAGUGCCCCUGCAUUUCUUCACUCUCACAGCAUGUCGUGGAAAAAAAAAGACACCUCUGCUUUUUGCACGGAUGUCAUCUCAGCCCAUAGACUCAGGGUCUCUGAGAUGCUCUAGGUUUCUGUUACUGGUCUUCUGUGAGUUCAAGUGUGGAUCUGGGCCAAAUGGUGACUUAUGUCAGUUGCCCCUGUUGGAAAUAUCCAAGUAAUGUUUGUCAGGACGGUAUCUCAGAUAAAAGCAGAUUUUAUUUGCGAUUGCAAUGGCAGCGUCCGGCAAGCAGGAGCGCACCUACAGGCACAUCGUGACAGCAUUUAGACCUUGUUUUCUCCCCCUUGCCUCCUCCCCUCCCCUGUUUCCCCACUGGCUGGGUACUCUAGGUUCACAAUGUUAUCAGAAGGUUUACAUUUGCUAUUUACUUGUUAAUUUAUUUGUUAUCUGGUGUCAGUCAGCAGCCAUCCUGUUGUUUCCAAGAUGUGUCGGUGCUUUCCUUGUAUUGAUAUGGUGAUUUUCUUUAAAGUCAUCAUUAAAGAGCACUGGGGGGGGAUGAUGCCAGGCCUUCCGAUGUCUCUUCAGGCACUUCCUCAGGCAGGCCAUCACUUAUUCUCUGGUUUGCUCUCGUGCAGGAUAUUCUUGCAGUGUGUAUGACAAAAUAUACAUCUGUACACCUAGAUACAGAGUGUGUGUGCCUGGGAAGGUUCGUCUAGAGGAUCAGUGAUGUAAACUAUCAGAGAUCUUCCCCAGGUGAAGUAAAAGGACUCCCAAAAAGAACUAUGAUAGCGGAGAUCAUGAAAUAACAAAAAAAUAUUAUCCAAUUCUAAAGCAGAAACAACAUUUGAUUCCCACACCUCUGGUGGGGUUUGCUGCUCCUGGAAGCUCUGCCAGCACAUUCAGACGUGUGGAAGCAGCUGAUGUGGACUAAUAGCUGUGGAAUUCCCUUGUGCUAAUCAGCAGCUUUGGAACAAGGAGCACAAAGAGUUGGGUCUGUGCCUCCGGAGCGGCGUGGUAUAACCCAAACCUCCACAGGAUGAAGGUCGCUUGCUGGUACAUCACAGGGAGGGCAGACUCACGUGAGCCACCAAGAUCUUUUCAUAGCGGCAGGAUGUGAUAACACUGCAACAGCUUCAGGAGGCUCUGGAAUCUCCCACAGUGGAGGUUUUAAAGACAGGUUAGGCAAAUACUGCUCAGGAAUGCUGCAGGUAGAGUUGUACGUGCCUCAGGGAGAGGGAUGGCUGACACAAGGUCCCAUCCAACUGCAUUUUUCAGCCACGUGUCACUAAUUGGUUUGGAAUAAGCAGAUGAAACCGUGAGCUGUUGAAAGCACAUGUUUACAAGGCAAUGGCUUGGGCUGGGCCUAACACAUGCUUUUUUCCUCCCCUCUCUCAAGGAGUUCUUAUCUGAAGGCUGCAGAUUGGACUCAAGCCUCUCAAUGGGGAGGGGCAUGGACAUUCAUUUGAAAUGCACCAGACUAGUCCUCAAGAGGCAGAAUUUCUCAGAGUCAACAAUCUAACUCUUUAUACAGAAUUGAACGACAGUGCAUUUCCCCAGGCUCUCGCUGCCACCCUUGUGUCAUAGGCUCACACUCCUAUGGGAAAAGAGGUGCCAAAAGGCUAACUGGGCUGUCGAGCUGUGUUCAGCUCUGCAUCUGAGACACUGCUGUCCUGAAAUGGGGAGGAAUUCUUGUCCUCUGAACAGGGAUGCCCAAAAGGAGCAGGCUGGGUGAGUUUCUUCUAAUGGAAGAUUAGACAGAGAAUCUCUCACAUGAUUUUAUCCUCUUCAUCCAGGACACUGGAGUCACAGGAGUUUCUGAGCUUUCUGAUACCCAUUUGUAUGUCAGAAUAAUCACAUCCUUUUAGUAAACUAAACUAAACUUUAGUUAACUGAAGAAUCUACACAACUAGUCCAAGCAUAGACGCAGAUGCGUAGAUUUAUAGGAGAUCAAUGCCACGAGCCUCAGUUUUAUGGCUCUCCCAUUUAGCAACAUGGGAGGAGAAAAAGUGCACGUCAGAAGUGCGAAUUGUUACCUUCAACAAAGGUAAAAAACAGACCAAAACAACAAGAAUAGCAGGUUUCAAAAAUGGGACUUAGGAAUGAAAAGCAAAAUAAAAAUAAAAUUAAAAAAAAAAAAAAGAGUGCACUCUGCACUUUCUUAACCGAAAGCUGAAAUGAAGGAAUGUUAGAGGAAAGGAGAUGUAACACGUGUGAGGAAUCAAAGCAUCUGCACUUAGGAGAAAACAGAGCUACUCCUUGGACAUGUUCCGAGGGCACAGUGUAAUUAACAGGUACUCCCAAGGUGUCUGUCUUCAAAAGGUGCCAACGUUUCUUGAUAAGUUAUCUCAGGAGCCAACACAACAGGUGACAGAAGGGCUGCUGCUUUCAAGGACACCCCUUCAGGUCACACCAUUCAGAUGAGUUGAGCAAGCUUAAUAGUUAUUGGAUUAAGGCAGAGCCUCGUGCUAAUAAAGCUGCAAUAUGCCCAAAAAAAAGAUGUCUGCUUGAGCAUUGCUUAUCCUGAAGAACAGAAGCACAGGGUGAGAUUACACAGAAUUAAGAUCACGAGAGGAGGCAAUGCUACCAACAAUAUUAAAAGAAAUAGUAAUUUCAUAAUUUCAGAAGUCAUUUCAUUUUCUUCCGUUCCUGCAAGUCACGUCAGAAGCUUUAAACCAACUAUGCCUCUCUUUAUCAAGCCCUUGUGAAGCAAGGAUGGGAAACUACCAGAAUCCUCACAAGCAAAUGACAUAGGAAAGGAAUUCUCUCCAUAGGUAAGCAUUACAAUUUCAAGAAGACCAGCCAACCUAUGUAACAUUCUGAACUGCAGUUGGAAGAAACCCACAGAAGCUCUCACAUUUUGUGUAAGCAGGGAGGGAGCCAGAUCGUUCCUGGAAUGCAGUGAACAAUUCAAGCUUUUGUAACCAUGCAUUCAAUGAGCGAGUGCUUCAUUAUGUAGCAUCAUGGCUUGGUCCACGAGCAGAUUUAUUUUGCAAACAUUGCAGUCCAACAAAUGAGCAGUUUGCCAUGAAUGUGAAGAUGAAAUGUCAUCUCAGGGUGCGUGGAGGGAAUCUUCACCAGCUGGUUAUCCUGGUACUUUGCAGAACAGGAACCUUACUGAGUGACACAAAAAAAGGCUUCCCAAGAGAUGUACGACCUAUUGGAAUCACCCUAAGGGAAAAGAAAGGUUUUUCUGAGGUUAAAUGUUUGGGGUUUUUUUUCUUCAACUUGCACUAAGUAGUAUUUAACAUUUUGGCUUUCUUCACAUAAUCCAGUUACGCUGGUUGUCCUGCAUUAAAGCAUUAAUGAAGGGCUUCCUUUUAGCUCACAGGACUGCUUGUCCUAUUGCUUUUUGUUUCAGCUCUUAUAAAUAUUCUAACAUUCAACAGUGAUUACUGAUGAACUUUUAAAGCACUUGGUCCAAGCAUUUUCACCAAAGAGCAAACUGCUCCAUUCAUGACAGACAGUCAUGGCCAUCCCAAGGAAGACACCAGGUUACACUAAGCUUUUUCCUCAUUUUUCUUAAACGUUUCUCUUUUUCAGUGCCAAUUGAAAUUCUCUCAAUUCAGUGCCAACAAGAAGAUGGCUUGGACUCCCAAAUUCACCGAAUAGCUCCAGAAAACCACCAGUAACUGGGUAACACACUACAUGCAACAAGCCCCAGCAUCUGGAAUGGAAAGCUUCAAUACCUGCACAUCUGAGAGAGCAACCACUGCUAGGCAACAUUUGGGCAGAUGAGAGUUCCUAACAAUGUCCCAUUCAUCCCAUACAACCAAGAGUGACAACUGAACUCAGUGCAGGACCCUACGUUGCCUGUGUUCAACUGCAUUGCGUUCCUCUCUGCCCAGCUCUGCCUGUCCAGGUGUCGCUGAAUGGCAGCACAGCCUUCUGCUGUGCCACAGCCACUCCUCACAGCUUCGUACCAUCAGCAAACUCUGAGGGUCUAAUGACUGUCCCUUUGAUGAAGAGGGAAAGCUGAGCCCGGCUGAGUGGAGAAGUGAGACCAGGGAACGCUGGAAAUAACAACAGGAUCACCACUCGACACCUCAAUGUCGUCCAAAUGUCGGUGCUGUGAACAUGGUGCAGUACAGAAUGGGGAAACACCUCUCUUGUAAUCUGGGCACAUUACAUGUUUUCAGGGGUAAGUGAUAAGACCUUGCAACCAUACAUUUCCAAUUCUUAAACUUCUCAUGAGUGUUUCCUUUGCUCUAGAAGACACUAACUUUUUCAAUGCUUCUUUCCGUUGCAAGAUCCAGAAGGUUUUGUUGCAUCAGAGAAAGAGAAUCGCUUUCUGAUCAGUGGGAGUAUCAGGCUUCACCGAGGCUGAUGAGCACCUUAUCUCCCUGUUCACACUCAGUGAUGAACUUCUGGCAUUGAGUGGCAAAGGAAAAUGAGGGAUAGUGUUACCCUGUAUCAUAGACUGAGCUUGUCAGGGUGGUGCAGAAGGUGUACUGUAAGCUUAAGAAGUUCCUUGCCAUUUGAAUAGGAGCAGGGCCUUCAGUAUUGGAUGGACAGGGCAUGGCUGUGUUGUGUUUUUGGUGGCUCAACUCCCAUUCUUUGUUGCGCUGCUCGCUGCUCUCCCAUUCCUGCCUGUAUAAGGCCGCAGUAACUGGAGCAGUUUGCUUUCUGAGGUGGAAACAGCCCUGCCAGAACUUUCACUGCUGAGGGAAAGCUCAAAGGAAUCAGAAGCCAAAAAGGACGGGAGAAAACAGGAAAGGAUGUGGUGGUGUGGUUCAGAAACACUCUGCAGACUUUCUAAGUAGAGCAGUUCUGAGUGAGGGUUGGAGAUAAUAAAAGAAAUCAUGAAUGAAAAAUGAUAAAUAACACAAAAAUUCAUAUUUUUACAAUGUUAAUAGAAAAAAAUGAUGUUUAGUUUUUAUUAACAAACCAUGUGGCAUGAAAGAAGCAAUCAUGAUUAUCUCCUUUUAGCAAAAACAACUGGCAAGAUACAUUUUUCUAACUACUCAGGGUAGAAAGAAGUAGCACUAAUGACAACUGCGUCAGCAAUAUUAGAUUGAGCACUCUGAAAUCCCGUGAACUCAGCUGUUGGUUUUCAUAAACACGUUUGAACCUGGCUAAGAAAAACAAGCUGCUGUUUGCACAUGCAAGGCUUUAGAUAAAUAAUUAAGGGAAGUUUGUGCAAACUGGGAGGAUAAUAAGCCUGACCUCAUACAGUCACUGCUGUAGUUACAGUUUGAUAUAUAAAGCGUGCACCAGCUCUGGCAGCUGGCAGGCCAGCCCUUCUCACUGUCAUUAUAAGCUGCUCCAUAAGCUGUGGAAUUAAUGACAUCCUUCCCUUAGGGCAACUGGGGGCCUUGGCUGGGACCUUAAUGGGGUCUCCCCGUCCCCACCCAGCUGUCAACUUUCACAACUCUUCAAGGGAACUUAGGGAAUGUCUUUGACGCCUUUUAUCCUUUGCUCGACUUUGCAUGACGUUGGCUAACCUGUUCAUAAGCUGCUUGUAAGGUCUUUGCCCAUUCUGUCCCUAGGAAAUUAGGCUAAAAACAGAAGGAGAAGAAUCUUCAGGCAGUAAAGAAGACAGCUUGCAGCCACCUGUAGGUUGAAGAAAAAGCUCUGCAUGAUGUUUGCAACAGAAACUGAGCACGCAGCCUUUCCUGGAACCAACAGCUGUGUUCGGGGGAGAUGGAAACCCUCACUGUGAGGGGGGAGGAAUUUCCAAUUGCUCAGGAUGAAAUAUUUCCUAGCACUGCUGGAGAAGCAGCACCUUGGGCUCAGAAGUGCUGGACGCUGCCACCCCACAGCCCCACCUGCCAGCUCUGCGCCAUGGCUGUCGGUGUCCCCGUACUCGAACUCCACGGUGGGGAAAUCCACAGAGCCCUGCG